AUACGUAGGGUGCAAGCGUUAAUCGGAAUUAUUGGGCGUAAAGCGAGUGCAGACGGUUACUUAAGCCAGAUGUGAAAUCCCCAAGCUUAACUUGGGACGUGCAUUUGGAACUGGGUGACUAGAGUGUGUCAGAGGGAGGUAGAAUUCCACAUGUAGCGGUGGAAUGCGUAGAGAUGUGGAGGAAUACCGAUGGCGAAGGCAGCCUCCUGGGAUAACACUGACGUUGAGGCUCGAAAGCGUGGGGAGC
rnacentral:rRNA from 1 species